rnacentral:lncRNA from 1 species
UGGAUUCCUGUCUUCUUCCUAGAUCUUGGUCCGUGAAACAACCUAGUGAGAUCCAGUACAGCUUCCAACUUAUAUUAGACCAACUUUCCUCCCUAUGACAUUAAUAGCUGGGGUAUGGAGCUGUCAGAGUGAUACGUAAACUCCAAUCAGAUCACCAACUGGCCUCAGAAAUGCACACAUACAAGAGUCCCUCUGUCAGUUCUGAGACACCUGAAGCUAGGAGUGGAGUGAAACCAGCACCCCUGAGGACACCACCACUAUGACUGUGCUCAGCCAGACUUGAAGCCAGCACAACACUGGGUCUUCCCUGCUGUAACCACUCCCUGGCCACUGCCUAUGUUUGCUCAAGGCCUUGGGGCUCUACAAUAAACAGGUCGAAAAGCCAUGCAGGUCUGUGCCCUUCCCUUCAGGGUGGCAAGUUCCCCCAAGCCCCAGG